rnacentral:lncRNA from 1 species
AACAAUUGAAGAAGGGUUGCCUUCAGAAUGUUCUUAGUUAUGGCAACAUCAUCAUGAUAUAGAAUUGGUGAUGCAUUAACGAGCCAAAUGGACCAUAAAAAUGAUGCCUUAAGCAUGCUAUUACAAGACCACCCAUUAAAAGGGGUUUCGUACAAUAUAAAAACCAGCUUUUUCUCCUAAUACCCACCCUCUUAAAUCAUGG